GGAACAAUUACUUGGAAUUGGAGUGUAUUGGGUUCUCUCUGGUAAGGUGACCAACGGAAUCGAGUUGGUUCGUUCCAAGCCCAUAUUGAUGACACCUGUCGAAUCACGGGCCGUUUUCUUGGGAGCUCUGUGGAGUCCUCUGGUUAGUUCCAUCUCCUCCACCACUAUCUCCAGAUCCGGAGCACUCUUCUCCGCCCUUUCUUGGGAUCCCUCGCGAGAUUGCAGUUGCGAAAGCAGGUGUGCUGAUCGGCCGGCGGCGGUUUGUCAACUCGGUUCGUGGGUACAUGUGGUUUCUCCGAUGAUGGGAGGGGCGAUCGACUACUUCUAUGUGCUCGAGCGACUUGGUUCCGUGGCGGAGAUUUGUGAAUUCCAUGGUCUUGUGCGUGUUCUCUGUUUGGUGAAGAACGUUGAAUGUUUCAUGCAGGUCACCUGUUUGAUGAUAUCUUACAGAGAUAUCUCUCCUCGGUGAUGAGCUGUUAUGCGAUCCUAGCUGAAGGCUAAGGAGAUGAUACUUGUUCUCUGCUAAAGAAGCCACCCGGUUGUUCUGGAAUUCGUGAUGAAGGAGCUAGAUGGGUAUCUUGCGAUAUAUUUAAGGGAGCAGACCCUCAACCAUUCAUUGUUCCAGUACUUCUAUAGAUUGAACUGUCGCAUGUUGGUAUGAUUUGGCCUCAGCAAUGGAGAUACAAAGGAUUGGAAGUAGUAAUCUUGGUUCGUUGCAUCUGAAAUGGGUGUUGAUCCGAAGUUGGUGUAGGAGCUCUGCAAAUCAUCUAGUUUCAAGUCCAUAAACCACUCACUGUCUUCUUUCUGACUCUUCUCGAUCAUCUGAUGUCCAGCUGUUUUGCAGGUGCUCAAUGCUUGCACUCCAGUAGAAGCUUGGGAUAGAUAGCCUAGAUCAUCAAAAUCUGGCAACACGACCUCAUUUUCUACAUCUGAUUCUGGUGUCCUGAAGCUGUCGGACAGUGCAUCAUCCACUGAUUGCAUGGUCUCUCCAAAGGAUGUCUCCUCCUGUUUCUGCAUCUUCGUCUUCUCCCAGUACCUGGAAGUUCCCAAGGCUCGUACUUGUAGAGAUCGAUCUCGGCGAUGAUGGGCACAGGCAGGCACUGGCAGGCGGUCUUGCGGCAGAGAUAGUGCACAACGAGCUCCUCGUCUGUGGGGUGGAACCGGAACCCCGGCGGCAAAUUGAGCUCCGCUUCGGCGUCUCUUGUCCUCCCCAUGGUCGUCUUCUCCGCUGGACUAACUAAUGAUCCCUUUCAGAUUGGAAGUCCAACAAGAGUUCCAAAAGCUUUCAUUGCUGAGCUCCUCGUUUGUUCUGCUGCUUUUGGCUGCUUAGAAGUCGACUUCUGCAGCCUUUGACUUCCCCCACUCACAACUUAUCACUUGUGGAGCUUGCAACUCGGAAUCCAUGGUCGUCCCAAUCCACUAAGCUGUACUGCAAGGUGAUUGAGCUCCGAUGAAGUGAGGUCAAUGAGGAUAAAUGGUAAAGGUGACUGUUUCCUUUCUUUGACUGGGGUCAUUCCUCAUGGUGGUGUCUAGAUUUCUUAAAGGUUGUCUUCUUUCAAGCCUAAGGUUAGGUUUGGCUGUAUUUUCUAGCUAAUGGCUUCUAAGUCAGAAAGUUUGUUUGUCUACUCUGAACAAGAUUUUUGUCUUUACAUGUUGUAAUCUUUGACUUGCAGGAGUUUUCUCUUCUGGCUUUUUAAUGUAGAAUUCUAGAACCCUAAUCAGAUUCUAAAUGCACUGUCUUUUUCCUUUUUUUGGAUUAAA